rnacentral:rRNA from 1 species
GACGAACGCUGGCGGCGUGCUUAACACAUGCAAGUCGAACGAAGUGGCGAACGGGUGAGUAACGCGUAAUCAACCUGCACUUCAGAGGGGGAUAAAAGUUGGAAACGACUGCUAAUACCGCAUACUGAAGGAGGGGAUUGAGGCUGAUUAGCUAGUUGGAGGGGUAACGGCCCACAAAGGCGAUGAUCAGUAGCCGGUCUGAGAGGCUGAACGGCUACAUUGGGACUGAGACUGCGCCCAGACUCCUACUGGAGGCAGCAGUGGGGAAUCUUCCGCACUGGACGAAAGUCUGACGGCGCAACGCCGCGUGAGUGAUGACGGCCUUCGGGUUGUAAAGCUCUGUUAAUCGGGACGCGGUACCGGAAUAGAAAGCCACGGCUAACUACGUGCCAGCAGCCGCGGUAAUUC